rnacentral:lncRNA from 1 species
UUUUUUUUUUUUUUUUUUUUUGGUAAUUGACAUGCCAUACAACUCACCUGUUUUAGGUACACAAUUCAAGGAUUUUUAGCAUAUCACGGGUGAUGCAAACAUCACCACAAUCUCAUUUAAGAGCAUCCCCCUCCCCCCAUGAAACCCUGUACCCACUGGCAGUCAUCCCCUCUCACCCUCCCUUGAGCCAAAACUGUGGGCAACUAUUCGUUUGCUUUCUGUCUCUAGGGACUUUUCUUAUAAAUGAAAUUUUAUCACGGGUGGGCUUACGUGACUGGCUUUCUUCACUUACAUUUUCAAGGUUUAUCCAUGUUGUUUAUCCAGCAUGAAUUAGCGCUUCAUUUUUACUGCUGUGUAAUAUUCCACUGUAAGGACAGACCACAUUUUUCUUCUCUAUUCAUUAGUUGAUGGUCAUUUGGGUUAGUCCCACUCUGGAUAUUACAAAUAAUGUUGCCAUGAACAUAAGUUUGUGUGUGGACACAUUUUCAUUUCUCUUGGGUACACGCCUAGGAGUGGAAUUGCUGGGUCACAACAGAACCCUGUAAUUAACCUUUUAUUGAUUAAAUAUGCAACAUUUUAAUGGAAAGUUUCAGGUAGCAAGUUCAGAUUUAGAACCUAUCUGUUGAAUCUAAAUUUACCUAUCUCCAAAAUGAAUCUAUAUUCCUAAAUUAUAUAGACUUCUCAAGGGGAACAGCCCAAACCUUAGUCAACCUGCCCUUGCUUAAUAAAAGCCUGACCUGUACAGAUUUGAACCUGCCAAAAAAAGAAAAAAAUUAGUUUUUACAAAAAUGUGAGAUUCUGAAGCUCGGCCCCACUCCCCAGCUGAGGAGGUAGAAACACAGGCCCUCCCAAUUCCUUCUCAACUCACAGGAGGUAAUUAUGAGUCUGCAAGAUGAGGCUGAAUAAAAAGGGGGGGUUGCCUUGUCCCAGUCACAGAUCAACAGGAAAACUAUGAAUAUACACAUCAAUAACACCCAUAACAUCUGGAAUUAACAGCCUAGCAGCCACACUGUUCUCCCAAUGACUAAAUAAAAAGGAAAAUCCUGGCUAAAAGACUUUAUUCCCAUGCCCAAUAAAAUCAAUACACAAGUGAUGAAAUACCAGAUUCCUUCUCCACCUGGGCAUGUGACUUAUUUGCACACAUGUGGGCUAAGGGAUAGAAAGGUAAAGUCUCUCUAAGCCCUAGGAAAGGAGGUGGGUCUUUUCAGCAAUUUUUCCAGGAAGUUUUAAGUCCAGGGCCUUGGGAAUCUAUUUAAACACCAUGCAGGGCAUGUGUGUUUGACCUUUGAACCCCCACGAUAAACCUUUAAGGGUACCUGGACAAGUGCUCAGCAACCCCUGAGGCUCCUGCGGCAGCAACUGCUCCUGCCCUUGGUGGUGCUGAUGCUGGUGGCAUCAAACAGAAGUGUCUUGCAUCCUAUAGCUCACAGGGGUUAAGCAAGUAGCUCAAGGUCACAGAACCAGGAAGCGGAGAAGCCACUGCAACCCGGGUCUUCGGACUCUGAAGUUAACCAUGAUAAACACUAUACUAACACCACCGCAGGUAUUUUCAUUCGCAUUAUCCUUCUUUUCCCAGACCCUAGACUCUUAAUACACAUUGUAACCUCCUAACGCAUUUCCCUGGGGGUUUCACUUCUCAAUCUGUGUGUGUGGCUCUCCUGUGAAUGAGCCUGCCUUGACCCCAUGAAGCAUCUACAAAGGAAUUCAGAUAAACCGAAUUAGCCAGAGUGUACCAAGAAGGUUCCAGCCACUGGACCAAUAGCUCCUGUUUCUUGGACAUUUUUUUGUCUUUUUACCUUUUCUAGGGCUGCACCCAUGGCAUAUGGAGGUUCCCAAGCUAGGGGUCGAAUCGGAGCUGUAACUGCCAAGCCUACGCCAGAGCCACAGCAACGCGGAAUCCGAGUUGCGUCAGCAGCCUACACCACAGCUCAUGGCAACGCCGGAUCCUUGACCCACUGAGCAAGGCCAAGGAUCGAACCCGCAACCUCAUCGUUCUUAGUCGGAUUUGUUAACCACUGAGCCACGACAGGAACUCCUGUUUCUUGGACAUUUUUUCAAUCAGGGCAUCUCAAUAACACAACAUGGCACUGCCAUCCGGGGCUGUGAUAUGUAAUGGGCUGAGGGGAUUGAAAGACAUAAACGGCAGGAUUUAGAAAAGUGGGACACAUGCAAAGUUUUUAUAAUUAGCAUUUUUAAAAAGAGAGGUCUCUGGAAAGGUUCAUUUGUGCCAUAUAUUAGAUUGCAGAUAUAAGUGAUAUCAUAUGGUAUUUGUCUUGGAGAACAGACAUGUGGUUGCCAAGGGGGAGGGAAUGGGAUAGACUGGGAGUUUGGGGUUAAUAGAUGCAAACUAUUGUAUUUGGGGAUAAACAAUGAGAGCCUGCUGUAUAGCCCAGGGAACCAUAUCUAGUCACUUGUGAUGGAACAUGAUGGAGGAUAAUGUGAGGAAAAGUAUAUAUAUAUGUAUGUAUGAACGAAUGACUGGGUCACUUUGCUGUACAGUAGAAACUGACAGAACAUUGUAAACUAUAAUGAGUUCCUAUUUUAAAACCUUUAUUUUUUACAUUUUCUAAAAUGAUUUCUCUUUUUCCAUUAGAGUUGAUUUACAGUGUUCUGUCAAUUGCUACCACCCCACAAUGGGCAGCCUGACGCAGCUGCCUUGCCUGUUUCAUGAACGCUCCCUCAAGACAGCAACGUAUUUCUUUUUCUGCCACAGGCUGGCUGGAGGUAAGAGCCCCUGGCCUGAUGGGCAUGGAGGUCAAUAGAUGCUCUACGCAACGCUCAAGAAUAUGUUAAGCAGGCCUCAACCAUGGCGACUUCUCUCCACUUGACAAAAUACAAGUGCUGGUAUCAGAGGCAGGAGAGGGGGACAGUGAAGAGCGGGUCGAGCGUGAGUUCGCAAAGCAGACUGACUGCAGGUACUCAAAUCCUGGCCGUCACACUGGAUAAACCCUGCAUACAUUACUGAACUUUCCUCAGUCACAGCUUCUUUUUGUUGAAAAGCCAAGAAGAUAACAGUGCAACUUCAGAGGCUGGGAUGACAUGAGGCACGAAUUCAUGUAGGACACUGAGGGCAGAACCUGGUACUUAACACGUGUGCAGUAAAUGCUAAUGACUUACUCAUCAUGACGCUGGUAUAAGUAACUGCUGAGAACAAAGCGCUGGCCUCAGGACCACUGAAAUAUAUUCAAAGCAAAACCAUGUGGAUCCAUAAAACACCAGCACAGGCCACUAGCUACUCCAAGUCCAUGCCCAUGAGCCUCCUUUAUCUCGUUGCCAGUCAUGAAUAAUACAGGUGCGGGUCAAGUUAGAAGUCUUGAUGUUUAUGUGACCCAUUUCCUUCAAGUUUGUGAGAAGUUCGUUCUCCUACCACAUGUGGCCUGGAAAUGCAUUAAGAUCAACUUGUGACUGAGGAUUCAGACACCAAACUCAAGAGGAAGCUGGACAUCUGGAGAUAAAACGCAGCUUUCAUCAGAUUUACGGAGAACUGACAGAGGAAGCUCCGUGGAACCGCCCUCCCGUACGCGAGACCCCAAGUGUACCCUUUGGUAAGGGCAGUACCAACUAGCCACUGCACAGGUCCCAGCCCAGGAGAACACAUACAUAUGGCUCUUUGGCUCUGACACCCCAUCAGUCAGCCUCACUUAGAGAAGAAAACAGCCAAGGUUCAUGCAAUCGAGACUCAUCAUUUUCAGCCGAGGGUGGGGUGGGGGGGGGAGGAGGAUCAGAAAAGGGUCUUCCUUAUGGCCUUAAAUGACAAGAAAACAGACGAAGUUGAAAGCGCCACCUCGCGCUUCUCCAAAAAGCAAGUGCUCAAUAAAGGCUUCUGCGGCAGGGAACCACAGGGCUGAUUCCUGCCCCAAGGACCUCGACAAUCUUUGGCCAGCUGGUUUAAAUGCCUGCGAAGCAGGCCUGUCGGAGCUGCCCUUUCCAGAGGCCUCCACGGUGGAACACAUUCCUCUGACGUGGCAGAAAUAAGCCUGGAGCCAUCAACAGCUCCUCUUCUAAGUCGACAAUGGCCUCUCUCUUUCAGGAUGAACCUUGGAGGAGGAAACCAUUCUCCCAGGCCAGGGUAGGAGGCUGUGUGAAAAAUCUCCUCGCUCUUCCCUUGGCUGCUUGGGCCUGACCCACUAGGUACCCAAUGGAAGCCUCCGAUGGGGGGGUGGGGGAACGGAUGGACGAAACUGAUAAUUCAAGGGGACAAAGCAGAAGGCUGACCCUUAAAACGGCGCUCCUCUGCAUGGCCACGUUAAGACCUCAUUAUAAGCCACGUGGUGGGCAGGCAGGCGCCCAGCCCUGGUGCCAGUUGUUUCAAGUCACAUGGCUUAAUAAUUAACAUGAGGCAAACCAGCGGGGAUCAGGACAGGCAAAUAUUGAGCCCCAGAAAAGGACAGAGGAAGACGAGGGAUUCGGCCGAAUGCUCCACUGCUUCCAGAGGCUGGAGCGGCACGGGUGCUUGACCUACAGUCAAGGCCCACAAGGCACUGAGGAACUGUUUGCUCUCUUAGGCAAAGCAAACGCAGUUACAUCGGGUAUGGGAAGGAACCAGGGAAGAAAAAAAGCUCAUCUCCUAAAAUGAAGAAAGAGCCUAUCACUUUUCUGCCUGUUUCUGGACAUCCCUGAGGUAUCCUCUGCCAAGGGGCACAGAAGCAUAGGAAAGAAAAGGUGACAUCAAAGACCUGUCACGCAAAGCUCUCAGCCCGAGGUCUCUCUUGCCCAAAAAUGCAUUUCCGAAGGGCUGAAGAGUUGCUGACUGCCUGAGGUUCAAACAUCUUCCAGCCAUGGGUUUCCCUUCCCUGAAAGCCGGAAAGCAGACGCAUCUGUUUUGUGCUAAGCAGGCGCCCUCCGCUCCACAGGAGGCUGUGUGCGCAACCCAGUCCUACCCACAGUCGCCGCUCAGCGGCCGGGAAUCGACAGCCUCACACACCCUCCAAGGAGGACGCUCUUUAACUGCCAACUUUCAGGAGAGGCAGUGGGGGGCUUGUCCACGGCCACAGCAAUCAACAGCGAGGCCAAGCCAUCAGUGGGUGAGAACAUGGGUCCGAGCCAGUCCUUAGAGUCUUAUUCCAAUGCAGGAAGAGAGGAUGACAGGGACGCAAUUAAGUUAAAAAGACAAAAAGCUUAUGAAAAAAAUCAGAAUGGUAAAGAAAAAACAAACCUCAACUGAGCACCAGCCAGCAAAAAGGAGACAGAAUCACCAUGUCACUUUUUCAAAGCCCUCCAUUAAUUCCGUAGUCCCUUCUGCACAAAGGUGGUGGAGCCUCCCAAGGGGUUCAAGCCAAAACCGGGUGUUUAGCAGAAGUGAGUCACUUGGGAGAAAACUCAUCCCUAAGGGCGAUGCCAUCUGCAGUGUUCCCUCCUAGAAAUUCACCCUGAUCUGCUUAGCAGCAGAACACAGCACUCCCGAGGCGAAGGAGCUAAAUGAUGUGGGAGCAAAGCCAGGGAAGGCUCGGGAGACGCUGGGCUGCAGAGCUGGGUGGAGUGGCACGGUUGCCUAGCUCCUCAGUCCUGGAGCCUGAACGCAGCACCUCUCCGGGGAAAUCAAACUCUACUGCUGGAAAUGCAGGCUCCACACUGCGAGGUCUGGGGAAGUUAAGCAUUCAGAAGGGAAUCCACUUCCUCCGCAUCACGGCCGCUAACUGGGAACACACAGACAUCCAGAAUGUGUGGUACCCACUGCGUCCAUUUGCUGAGCUAAGGAGGUCAGCUAGUGAAGAAGGGGGCGUGAAAAGAAGCAGUCAGGAGAGAAGCCCAGAACCUGGUUUACCUCUGCGCCUGCAGAUGGGCAGGGGGCUACCCCCCAAGGGGAGAUGAAAGGAGGAGAGGCCACUAGAGAGUGACUUGUGCAAACGUGGGCCAGGUCACCCCCCACCCCUGACAUCACAACAGGGUAGACCCAGAAAACCAAUAGCCCAGCUGUUAUUUCUGCCUCCUGACAUUAGGCACAAAGGAACCUAUUCUCCUUAAGGCAUCGAGCAAAGUUCAGAGACUAAAGCAGAGCUUUGCAGCCCUGGCUCUGCGAAGGACCCCCUGGAGAUCGCCAACACACUGAAGCCACCGUCCCACCUCGGGAUAUGGACUUAAUUGAUGUGGAGAACAGCCAAGCCUUGGCCGUCCUCUUAAAAGCUCCUUGGGCAAAACUCAGGUAUGCUUUGGGCCGAGCGACAAGGGUCUAGAGCGCCCUGGGAAGGACCAGCUUUGCAGCUCACCCUGCCUUUCAGCUGGCUGCCCUGUACUGCUGGGCACACAGGCUCUGCUGUGGCUUCCACGGUGAGGGUCCCCCAGCCCGCUUCAUCCUCGCAGACUUUCUUGGAACCCUGCACUUGAGCAUCUGCUGAGUGAACAGGAGCCAGCCAAGUGUUCCACUGGGGCAACAGAUGUUGCUGAAGAUUUCCUACAAAAACCUAGGUAUCAAUUAAGCAACUGGAGGUGGUGUCAGGAGGACAUGAGAGGGCCCGGGGAGGGAAGGAGGAGGACAUAGAGCAGAGUCCAGGGCUAGGGCAAGGCAGGAACACAGAUUAUUUUUCUAGCUCUCUAAUAUUUGCCCCAACACAGCCAUCCCCUGGCAUUCAGGGGUGAGAGGUUCUAGGAACCUCCUCAGACACCAAAAUCCACAGAUGCUCAAGUUCCCUCUAUGAGACAAAGCAGUUGUUUGAAUGGCAGAUACAGAGGACCAACUGUCUUAGCACCUUGGAAAGGCAAGGAAGGAAUAUUAGCAUUUCAGGCCUUGUGGCUACAGAGGAAUUGCAGCAGAACCCUGAAUAAGUAAUUUCUGGAUUCUCAUGCCUGUGAAUACGUCAGGCAGGGAGCCUGCUUCCCUUGUACUUCAGCUACAUGAAGGCCAUUGCUGUGACAACCACAAAAAUACAAAUGAGUAGACCUCCGCUAACUUCUCUGGAACAGAGAGCAGAAGACACUGAGAAAACAUCCAUUUUAUCCUUCAAGGAAAGAGUCAAACUGAAGAUGGUAAAACAAGCCACACACUGCAAAGGUCCAGUCCUGCUUUGUACAUUCAGCCAUCUCCACAGCUGAAAAGACUAGCUAUUUGAGGAUUCAUCCUACCCAAGGAUUCCUUAGUUUUCCUGUUUUGGAGGGAACCUUGGUGAAAGUACACUGAAGUUCAUUCUGCCAUCCACACCUGACGCAUCAGUACAACUGUGUGCCAUGGUCUCUGGCUUAAUUUAAAUACAUUCAAGUGUUUAUCCCUCUUUCAAUCCCUCCCCUCAAAAGAUGGUCUCAACUGGAAUAAAUGUACUCCGUUCAAAAUAUUUGAUGACCUUCAUGACAAUAAGAAGCAAAUAUAUCAUGUAGCAGCCAAUCAGAGGGAAGCAAACUUGAGGCAGGAGUCAAAUUUAAUACCACUAACUUCCUAAGAACUUAUUUUGGGGGUAAACCACACCCAUGGCAUAUGCAAGUUCCCAGGCCAGGGAUCAUGUCACAGAGGCAGCAAUGCCAGAUCCUUAACCCACGGCACCAGGCCAGGGAUCAAACCCUCACUGGCACAGAGAUAAUGCUGGAUCCUCAACCUGCUGCACCACAGCAAGAAUUCCAGUUUCCUAAGAACUUUUAAAGGGCACAUUAGAUUGACCAAUCAAAGCCACAAGAGCAUGGUUCCUAACUUGGUUCACAGGAGCCAGUGUUCUGUCCUCCCUGGCUCGGGUCUGCUUUUGCCUGCUGCAGACCUGGGAGGACAGAGGAGGAACAGGGGGAAGUUGGUGGCCUGUGACAGCUGCAAUGUUACAUUGAUUGACUUGGCCUGCACACCAUCAGGCCAGAUUAUCAGCAGCUUGUUCUGAGGCUGAAGAAGAAUCAAUGCUGCAGAAUCCAGCUAAGCCACGGACCACAGUAUUCCAGGACAUCACAUGAGGACUUUAAAAAAAAAAAAAAAAGAACCACAGCCCUUGGGGACUCCCAAAAAGACAUUUUUGUCAUGAUCUUCAUUGAGUGGCUAGAAAUACACAAAAUAAAAUUUUCAAAAUCCUCAUUUUGCCUCUAGAGAAAAAUGCAAAGACCCUGAGAUUCUGGAAUUCCACCCAUGGGCCACUCUCCCCAGAAGGAAGAGCCCGCCAAGUGCUGGUGGCUCCUCUAGCAGGUGCACAACCCUUACCAACCAGUGGCUUGACCAGGCAAGGGAUCAGCUCCUCUCACCAGUGAAGAGCCAGGCUCUGCAAAGUCACAGGAUUGUGGAAUUGUGGAGCAGGACCAGGACAUGACUCACUGGGUUCAAAAGCCCACAAGGCCAAGCUGCUGGGAGAUGUGAGCAGCCAGCCUUAUCACAAUGGCUUCCUAGAACUUGGAAAUGGCGGUACAGAAGAGAGAUGGAGAGGAAAACUGGUACAUCAUAUGAUGCCUACAUUACAGAACACUACGGUCACCCCACAGAAUUUGGUGAAAGUCUAUGUCUUUAGCUUCAUGCUUCCAUUUAAACUUGCACCAAGACCUUAAUGACAGGGAUACCCACAAUAAUCAGAGGCAACAUUUCAGCUCAAAAAAUGCGUUGAUAACCAGGAAAGACUUUAAAAAAAAA